GUCAAUGUCAAAUGUCCUGAAGAGUGUGACAAUAGCUCUUGGUACUACGGAUGUGAGCGCAAGUGUCCUGAGGGAUGUCUGGGUCAGUGCGAUAGAGUUACUGGACGAUGUCUCGUCUGCAAGCCAGGCUACCCAAUGACUAGUGACUACAAAUGCAACUUGGACUUCUUACCACUGGUAGACAACGUGACCGCCAAUCCAGAAGGUAACAAAAAUACCAGCUCUGAAGG
rnacentral:sRNA from 1 species